UUUAUUGGAGAGUUUGAUCCUGGCUCAGGAUGAACGCUGGCGGCGUGCCUAAUACAUGCAAGUCGAGCGAACGGAUUAAGAGCUUGCUCUUAUGAAGUUAGCGGCGGACGGGUGAGUAACACGUGGGUAACCUGCCCAUAAGACUGGGAUAACUCCGGGAAACCGGGGCUAAUACCGGAUAAUAUUUUGAACUGCAUAGUUCGAAAUUGAAAGGCGGCUUCGGCUGUCACUUAUGGAUGGACCCGCGUCGCAUUAGCUAGUUGGUGAGGUAACGGCUCACCAAGGCAACGAUGCGUAGCCGACCUGAGAGGGUGAUCGGCCACACUGGGACUGAGACACGGCCCAGACUCCUACGGGAGGCAGCAGUAGGGAAUCUUCCGCAAUGGACGAAAGUCUGACGGAGCAACGCCGCGUGAGUGAUGAAGGCUUUCGGGUCGUAAAACUCUGUUGUUAGGGAAGAACAAGUGCUAGUUGAAUAAGCUGGCACCUUGA
rnacentral:rRNA from 1 species